rnacentral:rRNA from 1 species
AUGAUUUUCAUCUUUUUUUUCCUUUGUCAUUUUGCUAGAGCUGUCUGGUUUGCUCAUCCUUGGUAUAUUAGAUCUGAUGCUCUCGUUCAUAAUCAGGACUCUUUGCUUACCACCAUUACUUCUUUAAUGGGUUCACAUCAUUCUCAUGCUUCGUUCCAGAAUAUUUUCAAUUUUUUAUGGACUUUAUGGAAAGCUAGGAAUGAUUGUCUUUUCGAGCGCAGGAAAGGGCAUCCUAAUAGGAUCCACAUUAUGGCUGCUAGUAUGGAUUGUGCAAUGCAGGCUGAGGCACUUUUGUCAUCUGAUGACCAACAUAAUGUUACUAACAAUCUUCAUAAUGAACAGCAAAUUCCUAUACAGGGCAAAUCCAUCCAAUCUGAUCUCAUUAUUAAGGGGCCGAAGAUUUAUUCCGAUGCGGCUUUUUGA